rnacentral:rRNA from 1 species
CCAGCCAUGCCGCGUGUGUGAGAGCCUUAUGGUUGUAAGCACUAGCGAGAGACUUACCUAGUUAAUACCUAGGAUAAGUGGACGUUACUCGCANAAUAAGCACCGGCUAACUCUGUGCCACAGCCGNGGUAAUACAGAGGGUGCAAGCAGUUAAUCGGAAUUACUGGGCGUAAAGCGCGCGUAGGUGGCCAUUUAAGUCAAAUGUGAAAUCCCCGAGCUUAACUUGGGAAUUGCAUUCGAUACUGGAUGGCUAGAGUAUAGGAGAGAGUAGAUUCCAGGUGUAGCGGUGAAAUGCGUAGAGAUCUGGAGGAAUACCGAUGGCGAAGGCAGCCUUCUGGCCUAAUACUGACACUGAGGUGCGAAGCNUGGGGAGCAAACAGGAUUAGAUACCCUGGUAGUCCAUGCCGUAAACGAUGUCUACUAGCCGUUGGGUCCUUUGAGGACUUAGUGGCGCAGCUAACGCGAUAAGUAGACCGCCUGGGAGUACNGUCNGC